rnacentral:rRNA from 1 species
AGAGUUUGAUCAUGGCUCAGGAUGAACGCUAGCGGCAGGCUUAAUACAUGCAAGUCGUGGGGCAGCAUGACUGUAGCAAUACAGUUGAUGGCGACCGGCAAACGGGUGCGGAACACGUACACAACCUUCCUUCGAGUGGGGAAUAGCCCGGGGAAACCCGGAUUAAUACCCCGUAACAUAAUGGAGUGGCAUCACUUUAUUAUUAUAGCUCCGGCGCUUGAAGAUGGGUGUGCGACUGAUUAGGCAGUUGGCGGGGUAACGGCCCACCAAACCUACGAUCAGUAACUGGUGUGAGAGCACGACCAGUCACACGGGCACUGAGACACGGGCCCGACUCCUACGGGAGGCAGCAGUAAGGAAUAUUGGUCAAUGGACGCAAGUCUGAACCAGCCAUGCCGCGUGGAGGAUGAAGGCCCUCUGGGUUGUAAACUUCUUUUAUCUGGGACGAAAAAGGGACUUUCUAGUUCAACUGACGGUACCAGAGGAAUAAGCACCGGCUAACUCCGUGCCAGCAGCCGCGGUAAUACGGAGGGUGCAAGCGUUAUCCGGAUUCACUGGGUUUAAAGGGUGCGUAGGUGGGUUGGUAAGUCAGUGGUGAAAUCUCCAGGCUUAACUUGGAAACUGCCAUUGAUACUAUUAAUCUUGAAUACCGUGGAGGUCAGCGGAAUAUGUCAUGUAGCGGUGAAAUGCUUAGAUAUGACAUAGAACACCAAUUGCGAAGGCAGCUGGCUACACGAAUAUUGACACUGAUGCACGAAAGCGUGGGGAUCAAACAGGAUUAGAUACCCUGGUAGUCCACGCCCUAAACGAUGGAUACUCGACAUACGCGAUUAACUGUGUGUGUCUGAGCGAAAGCAUUAAGUAUCCCACCUGGGAAGUACGAUCGCAAGAUUGAAACUCAAAGGAAUUGGGCGGGGGUCCGCACAAGCGGUGGAGCAUGU